rnacentral:rRNA from 1 species
GCUGGAAUCGCUAGUAAUCGCGGAUCAGAAUGCCGCGGUGAAUACGUUCCCGGGUCUUGUACACACCGCCCGUCACACCAUGGGAGUCGGAAAUGCCCGAAGUCUGUGACCCAACCUCAGGGAGGGAGCAGCCGAAGGCAGGUCGAAUGACUGGGGUGAAGUCGUAACAAGGUAUC